rnacentral:rRNA from 1 species
AUUGAACGCUGGCGGCAUGCCUUACACAUGCAAGUCGAACGGCAGCAUGGAGAGCUUGCUCUCUGAUGGCGAGUGGCGAACGGGUGAGUAAAGCAUCGGAACGUACCGUGUAAUGGGGGAUAACGUAGCGAAAGUUACGCUAAUACCGCAUACGACCUGAGGGUGAAAGCAGGGGAUCGCAAGACCUUGCGUUAUACGAGCGGCCGAUGUCAGAUUAGCUAGUUGGUGAGGUAAAGGCUCACCAAGGCGACGAUCUGUAGCGGGUCUGAGAGGAUGAUCCGCCACACUGGGACUGAGACACGGCCCAGACUCCUACGGGAGGCAGCAGUGGGGAAUCUUAGACAAUGGGGGAAACCCUGAUCUAGCCAUGCCGCGUGAGCGAUGAAGGCCUUAGGGUGUAAAGCUCUUUCAGCUGGGAAGAUAAUGACUGUACCAGCAGAAGAAGCCCCCGGCUAACUCCGUGCCAGCAGCCG